UUGAAAGGGAAACGAUUGAAGUCAGUCGUACCAGCGGGAAAUCAACCUUUCGAGUGGGGGUUUUGGAGUUUUGAAGAGUGUCAAAACCUUUGAGAUUUCAAAAUUUUCGCUCCUUUGGUGUACUUUCUCGUGGGUAGGUUAACAUCGGUUUCGAUCAUCAUAAAAGGAUUGGAGGAAUGUAGCUUCGAUCUUGUAUUGAAGUGUUAUAGCCUUUGGUAAAUGUGAUGAUUGGGAUCGAGGAUUGCAACGAAUACCCUUUUGGGCUAUCCGCCUGAUCUCUGAUACGUGGCCUUGGCAUCGAAAGCUUGCUUAUGGUAUCAAGGUAUUACGGUCAAAAGGUUAGAACGGAUUACAUUCGUUAAGGAUGUUGACGUA
rnacentral:rRNA from 1 species